GACGAACGCUGGCGGCGUGCUUAACACAUGCAAGUCGAACGGUAAGGCCCUUCGGGGUACACGAGUGGCGAACGGGUGAGUAACACGUGGGUGAUCUGCCCUGCACUUCGGGAUAAGCCUGGGAAACUGGGUCUAAUACCGGAUAGGACCAUGGACUUCACGGUUUGUGGUGGAAAGCUUUUGCGGUGUGGGAUGGGCCCGCGGCCUAUCAGCUUGUUGGUGGGGUAAUGGCCUACCAAGGCGACGACGGGUAGCCGGCCUGAGAGGGUGUCCGGCCACACUGGGACUGAGAUACGGCCCAGACUCCUACGGGAGGCAGC
rnacentral:rRNA from 1 species